AGGUCUGGAAGGUCCUAUUGUUGGAGCAGAGGAAGGCCUGCAGGAGGAUCAUUUUCAGAGCUUUCUUCUAUGACAGAUGUUGAAGAGUGCACUUCCCUACAGAGUGCUGCAACAAGAAUCCUCAGCCUAGCUUUGAACCUUCAUGAGUGAGAAGUCAGAUAAUUCUUAUUUAUUUGGUGAUUUCUCUACAAUUCCAACAGCACUGUUCUUAUCAACCCAUGAUAACAGGAAGCUGAGCUCCUACCAGAUCAUUUUAUGCAGACUCUUCCUCCUUCCAGUUGUGAAGGAUCCUCAAAUGUGGAAGAAGAAAACAACAAAAAAAAAAUAAAGCUCAAAAUUUCUCUUUGCUUAUUGCCUG